ACCAAUUUAGGUCUUUCAGCCUUUUGGUAGAUAGCUCCCUAAUACCGUGGGAAUUAGGGAGUUAUCUACUAAGCGGCUGCUUAUUUUAUGUUAUUUUUAAGUGAUUUCCCUAUCCACAUUUGUUUGCAGGGCACUUGUCCUACUAUUACCCCCAUAUUACUUCCUUUUGCAGCACUCUAGCCCUUUCCAGGAGUUUUUUAGAGCCAUUUUUGUGCCCAAAAGUU